rnacentral:pre_miRNA from 1 species
GCAUCAAUGCUGGAUGUCAUAGUAAUCUCCUUGGCCUAUCACAGCCAGCUUUGAUGAGC